rnacentral:miRNA from 1 species
GGCACAUAUGUUGGUAUUCUAUUGGAAUGCAAGUGGGCUGGCUUUUGAACCCAUUUAUGGGCUAUUCAAGUGGGUAAACCAUAGGUUGGUGCACUUAAAUGGCCUAUAAGUGGGUUUGUGGGCUGGCCCUCUUGUAUCCUGAUAGUUUAGUAUGA